rnacentral:rRNA from 1 species
AUACGUAGGGGGCAAGCGUUGUCCGGAAUCAUUGGGCGUAAAGAGUGUGUAGGCGGCUUGGUAAGUCCGCUCUGAAAGCCUGGGGCUCAACCCCAGGAGGCGGGUGGAUACUGUCAAGCUUGAGUCCGGAAGAGGCGAGUGGAAUUCCCGGUGUAGCGGUGAAAUGCGCAGAUAUCGGGAGGAACACCUAUGGCGAAGGCAGCUCGCUGGGACGUGACUGACGCUGAGACACGAAAGCGUGGGGAGCAAACAGGAUUAGAUACCCUGGUAGUCCACGCCGUAAACGAUGGGCACUAGGUGUGGGAGGUGUCGACUCCUCCCGUGCCGAAGCUAACGCAUUAAGUGCCCCGCCUGGGGAGUACGGCCGCAAGGCUAAA